rnacentral:misc_RNA from 1 species
GAUGAAGAACGUAGCGAAAUGCGAUAAGUAAUGUGAAUUGCAGAAUUCAGUGAAUCAUCGAAUCUUUGAACGCACAUUGCGCCCGCCAGUAUUCUGGCGGGCAUGCCUGUUCGAACGUCAUUUCAACCAUCAAGCCCCAGGCUUGUGUUGGGGUCCUGCGGCUGCCGCAGGCCCUGAAAAACAGUGGCGGGCUCGCUGUCACACCGAGCGUAGUAAUACAUCUCGCUUUGGACGUGCGGCGGGUUCUUGCCGUUAAACACCCCCCUUCUCAAGGUUGACCUCGGAUCAGGUAGGAAUACCCGCUGAACUUAAGCAUAUCAAUAAGCGGAGGA